rnacentral:lncRNA from 1 species
GGCUUUGCUAUGCUCUCUGCUGUAACAAGGGCUGUGCAUAGGUCCUGUGGGGCUGUGCCCUGCUGGCACAGACCUGGUUGUUGCUUCCUGAACUGAGAGGGGCUGCCAUGUUCCUGCUGUGCUCCAACAGGGUGUGAGGCUGCCACGUGAGGAGUGAGCUGGGAACUGGGGCAUCCCCAGCACCAGCAAGGAGCUGGGCUGUCAAACAGCACCCAUGCAGGGUGAGCAGAGAUGGAGGCUUGCACCAGGGUCCGCAGAAGCUUCUGACAUGGUUCUUUUCUCAUCUUUCAUUUCACUUGCUGAAUUUUCAGAUAAGUCCAUGAUCACUGCAAGAUUUUUACUAUGACCUGUAUGUUAACUUCCACAAAUCCGUG